rnacentral:lncRNA from 1 species
UUUUAUGAAGCAGCACAAAACCAAUUAAAAAGGUUUGUGCAUCACAACUCAAUAUCUACUGUCCACUACUCCCAAAAGAUUUCUGCAAUAUGCUACACUUCAAAGAUCCUUCUCCAUUCUGAUUCUCCGCUCCAUGAACCGUUUUUAUGAAGCGGCACAAAACCAAUAAAAAGGUAAAUUCCAUUGUUUAAUCUGUGCAAAGCUUGAAUUGACUCAUUUCUUCAAGCACUGCUUCACCU